CCUGUUCAGGUGGAUGUUGA
rnacentral:miRNA from 1 species